rnacentral:rRNA from 1 species
AAAGUACCACAAGACUUCGGUUGCGUGGAUAUGGAUGUAAUAGCUCCCAAGAAAACCUGCUAAGCUUCAGGAUAUAACUAACCGUACCGUAAACGGACACACGUAGUUGGGUUGAGUAUACUAAGGCGCUCGAGAGAUUCAUGGCUAAGGAACUAGGCAAAAUCGCCUCGUAACUUCGGGAGAAGAGGCGCCUCCAGAGAUGGAGGCCGCAGUGAAAAGGCCCAGGCGACUGUUUAGCAAAAACACAGGGCUAUGCUAAGUUGAAAGACGAUGUAUAUGGCCUGACACCUGCCCGGUGCCGGAAGGUUAAGUGGGGAUGUUAUUCGUAAGGAGAAGCAUUGAAAUGAAGCCCCGGUAAACGGCGGCCGUAACAAUAACGGUCCUAAGGUAGCGAAAUUCCUUGUCGGGUAAGUUCCGACCUGCACGAAUGGUGUAACGAUCUGGGCACUGUCUCAGCCAUGAGCUCGGUGAAAUUGUAGUUCCGGUGAAGAUGCCGGAUACCCGCAACGGGACGGAAAGACCCCGUGAACCUUUACUGCAGCUUCACAUUGAUUUUGGGUAAGUAAUGUGUAGGAUAGGCCGGAGACAAUGAAGGAGCAUCGCCAGGUGUUUUGGAGUCGUCCUUGAAAUACGGCCCUUUGCUUAUCUGAAACCUAAUCCCUGUUAAGGGAGACAGUGUGUGGUGGGUAGUUUGACUGGGGUGGUCGCCUCCAAAAGAGUAACGGAGGCUUCCCAAGGUACCCUCAGGACGUUUGGUAAUCGUCCAUAGAGUGCAAUGGCACAAGGGUGCUUGACUGUGAGACUGACAAGUCGACCAGGUACGAAAGUAGGGCAUAGUGAUCCGGUGGUUCCGUAUGGAAGGGCCAUCGCUCAAAGGAUAAAAGGUACUCCGGGGAUAACAGGCUGAUCGCUCCCAAGAGCUCAUAUCGACGGAGCGGUUUGGCACCUCGAUGUCGGCUCGUCACAUCCUGGGGCUGGAGAAGGUCCCAAGGGUUGGGCUGUUCGCCCAUUAAAGUGGCACGCGAGCUGGGUUCAGAACGUCGUGAGACAGUUCGGUCCCUAUCUGUUGUGGGCGUAGGAAAUUUGAGAGGACCUGACACUAGUACGAGAGGACCGUGUUGGACGUACCGCUGGUGUGCCAGUUGUUCCGCCAGGAGCAUUGCUGGGUAGCUACGUACGGCAAGGAUAAGUGCUGAAAGCAUCUAAGCACGAAGCCCACCUCAAGAAUAGAUUUCCAUGAGGGUC